GGGUGAUUAGCUCAGCUGGGAGAGCACCUCCCUACAAGGAGGGGGUCGCGGUUCGAUCCCGUCAUCACCCACCA
rnacentral:tRNA from 1 species